UACAGAGGGUGCAAGCGUUGUUCGGAAUCAUUGGGCGUAAAGGGCGUGUAGGCGGUCUGUUAAGUCAUGUGUGAAAUCCCUCGGCUCAACCGGGGAACGACGCAUGAAACUGACAAGCUAGAGUACCAAAGAGGGGUGUGGAAUUCCCGGUGUAGCGGUGGAAUGCGCAGAUAUCGGGAGGAACACCGGUGGCGAAGGCGGCACCCUGGGCCAGUCCUGACGCUGAGGCGCGAAAGCGUGGGGAGCAAACAGG
rnacentral:rRNA from 1 species